GAUCCUGGCUCAGGAUGAACGCUAGCUACAGGCUUAACACAUGCAAGUCGAGGGGCAGCAUGAUCGAAGCUUGCUUCAAUUGAUGGCGACCGGCGCACGGGUGAGUAACACGUAUCCAACCUCCCGUACACUCAGGGAUAGCCUUUCGAAAGAAAGAUUAAUACCUGAUGGUAUCUUAAGCACACAUGUAAUUAAGAUUAAAGAUUUAUCGGUGUAUGAUGGGGAUGCG
rnacentral:rRNA from 1 species